GGGCCUUUAGCUCAGUUGGCUAGAGCACCUGCUUUGCAAGCAGGGGGUCGUGGGUUCGAAUCCCACAAGGUCCACCA
rnacentral:tRNA from 1 species